CAUCAAAAUACCUACUAGUUUUCCUUUAGUUUUCACAUUAUUGAAAAGAUUCAAGAAUUCUAGCUGUUACAAAGACAUGCAUUUCUUUUGUUUGAACAGGGCUGGGUUGUAUCAGUCACUUCAAGGUUAAGGAUCCUUCUAGGGAAUCUUCUGAAGCAAAGCUGACUGCAGGACACGUGACUUGAGAUCAGUCCUUAAGAAUGAUGGACAAUCAGAUCCAAGACUUAAAAAGAGGCCUAUGUUUCAGUGAGCGUGGUUGAAAUGCAAUGAAAACAGCUCACGUGGUUUUGGCAGUAUUCAUCCUACCAUAUAUCCGAUUUCUAGGAUACGACCCAGAAUUUUGCAGGAGAAGUGUGAAACUUUUACGCGCUGCAUGGCCCACGAAAUCAAGUGCUGCCAUCAACGCACAUCUCUCCACACGAAGGGCGGACCAUGCAUCUCUUCUGGAAGUCUCCCAAGUUUGUAGCAAAGGUCUUGCACGCCACUGCAGCCAGCUGAGUCCCAUCAUGGCACACGCACCAAGUGUUGUAGGACCAGGUUUGUGCGAUCACAGAACCCAGGUGCGGCUGUCCUUCUCCACUGGAAAUCAGGUAAGUCGCUUUGCGCGGUGUGUUCGAUUGUACAAUAACGUAAAAUUUACAGGAGACAAAAAUAAAACUUUGCCGCUACAUGACA